AAGCAUUUCGGUGUGUAAACCACUGUCGAUAGGGAAUAAACGUCGGCUUCGGCCGGCCUGAAUGUACCUAUAAAGGAAGCACCGGCAAACUUCGUGC
rnacentral:rRNA from 1 species